AGUACUACCUGUUGGGUGCUAUAGGACCUCAAGAUUUCUGUUAGUUUUAAAAAAAUUCAUAAUGUAUGUGAAGGAGCUCUAUACAUCGUAUAUUACAUUCAUGUAUAUAUUAGUUUAUUGUUGCUGCUUGUAUCAGUUUCCUAAGUACUCAUGAAAUAAUAGUCUUCCUAUUUCAAAAGUUAAACCGAUUUAAAGGUUUUGGAAUUCAUUCUAGUCACCACAGGAAGGUGGCAGAGGCUUGGGAACUGCUCUAGUCAAGAUCAUCAGUUUCCUCCUUGGUGCUGAAGUGGGCAAGUGUAUGAAAGGCAGCAGGUCUGUGCCUCAGCAGUAUUUUACUUUCAGGAUUAUCCUCUCUUCCCUAAAACAUUUCUUUUCCCUUGGGACUCAGUGCCCUUCAGUGUUUGGUUACCUUGCUGGCUACAUCCCUGUAUGUAGUCUUUCUUCUUUUGCCUGCCACUCCAUUACAUUCUCUUAACAAGCAGCUGCUCACUUGUUUUAAGUGCACCUGCAUUCUUAGGACUCAAACCCUUCUGCAGUCCUGAGAGUGUUAGCCUAUGUUUAGGUACCCAUAUGUCUUAAUAGCGUUCUCACGCCCGGCCAGGAAGAACACAACAGACCAGAAUCUUCUGCGGCAAAACUUUAUUGCUUACAUCUUCAGGAGCUAGGAGCGCAAACCCCCAGCCCCAAAAGCGAAAGCCACCCCUAUAAUGAAUCCGAAACCCCUUCCCUAUUUAGGAGAGUUAUAUUUCGCCUAGGACGCAUCACUCCCUGAUUGGCUGCAGCCCAUGGCCGAGCUGACGUUCACGGGAAAGGCAGAGUACAAGUAGUCGUAAAAUACCCUUGGCACAUGCGCAGAUUAUUUGUUUACCACUUAGAACACAGGAUGUCAGCGGCGAAUGUGGGGGCGGCUCCCAACACAUAUGCAGCUUCACAAACAGCUGCCAGCCAUAUCUCCCUCGGUCACUAAGUGGCCUUGUUUGUGGCAUUUGUUACAACAGCACUAGCAAUUUAUUGUCAGAGCAGUUAAUGUCCACUUUGGCUAUGGGGGUGCUUCAGGUCACAGUAGAAAGGUAGAAGAUGUGGGGAAGGGACGAUGAUUAUAACUGCAGAAUAUUGACAGAUGUUGUGUACACCUUUUUAAAUUUGAAGUAUGUACUAAUCCUAAUAAUGGGAAGCCAGACAUUGUCAACAGGAUUUUCUGAUAAGAAGCUGAAGUGCAGAUGCAGAAGAUGAUGUGUGAACAGCUACAAAGGGUCAGAAUGACUCCUCAAAACCAGGUCCCCGGACACUCUGCUUUGGGCAGAGCAGCUCACUGCCUCUUUGACCGCUUUCUAAAAACUAGGUGUGUAUUAUUGAGCCUCAUGGUGGUUCUCCUGAUAGUCUUCAUGAAUUAAUUUUCUUAAUUUUUGAUGCUUACAAAUGCUGCUGUAUUUUUUUUGCCCCCAUUGUUGAUUAUAAUUGUUACCCACUUUUGUUUGUUUGUUUUCGAGAUAGGGUUUCUCUGUGUAGCCCUGGCCGUCCUGGAACUCACUCUGUAGAACAGGCUGGCCUUGAACUCAGAAAUCCACCUGCCUCUGCCUCCCAACUGCUGGGAUUAAAGGCAUGCGCCACCAUGCCCGGCUGUUAUCUACUUUUUAAAAUGGAAGCAUAUACAUGUAUUUUCAUUUUGUUUGCAUGGUUUUUUAAUACAUUUUUUAAGAUUUAUUUUUUAUUUAUUAUAUGUGUGUACACUGUAGCUGCCUUCAGAUACUCCAGAAGAGGGCAUCAGAUUUUUGUUACAGAUGGUUGUGAGCCACCAUGUGGUUGCUGGGAUUUGAACUCCAGGACCUUUGGAAGAGCAGUCAGUGCUCUUAACUGCUGAGCCAUCUCACCAGCCCUUGCAUGGUUUUUUGCGGCUUGGCUUCUAGCCACAUUCCCAGGUGCUUUCUUAGAAUGUUUUAUUAGAGUCACUUUACACCAUCCUUAUUGUACUAGCUAAUUUUAUGUUAGCUUAACACAACCUAGAGUGAAUAAUUUGGUAAGAGGGAACCUCAGUUGAGAAAAUGCUCCUACUAGAUUGUCCUGUGAGCAAGCUGAUGGUGCAUUUUCUUGAUUGAUGGGCAGUGCCACCCCUGGGUAGGUGGUCCUUGGUGGAAGAAGAGAGCAGGAUGAACAAACCAUAGUAAGCAAGCCAAUAAGCAGCAUCCCUCCAUGGCCUCUCCAUUAGUUUCUGCCUCCAGGCCCUGCCCUGACUUCCUUUGCUAAUGGUCCAUGAUAAGAAAUGGUAGGAUAACUAAAAACCCUGCCACCCUCAAGUUGCUUUUGAUCAGUGUUUUAUCACAGCAGUAGAAAUCCUAAAACACUUAUAUAAACAUUCCUCUGGGACACUCUAACAUGGUGGACAUAUUAGAAACAAUGAGACUGUUUUAGCCGUUGUAUCCUGUGAAGUACGAGAGAAAACAGAAAAGUCAAUAUAUUCAUUCAUAAACAGAUACUUUAGAAGUUUAGACUUCCAAUUCUGAUUUUGUAGUAUUUCACUGUUCCAGAAAGUUUCCAAAUCAUAUUACAUUUGUUUCUUCAAAAAUAAAGCAAAUUACAGGUCAGCCAGGGUUAUGUAGAAAAAAUCCUAUCCCAAAAAAUAAAAUAAAAUAAAAAAUUAGGAAAUAAACACUUAUAUAAAGGGUCAUAAUCCCAAAGUAAGAGAAUAUUUAUUUGAGUUUAGACACGUUGUUGUUGGCAUUUUUACAGGCUUUCAUUUGUUCAUCAAUUUAACAAAUAUUUGUGUCUAAUAUUUAUUUGUAUCUAAUAAAUACUAGGGUUCAGACACUGCUAUGAUCCAUGCCCUCACUUAGUUAUAGUUACUAUUGCUGAGAUGGAAUCCCAUGACCUAAAGCAACUUGGGGAAGAAAGGUUUAUUUUGCUCAUAGUUCCAUAUAACAGGAAAUCAUCAAAAGCAUUGAGGGCAGGGACUUACACAGGUCAGAACUUGGAGGCAGAAGCCAUAGAGGAAUGCUGCUUACUGGUUUGCUCCUCGUGGCUUGCUUAGCCUGCUUUUUUAUAGAACUCAGGACCACCAGCCUUGGGGUGGCACCACUC
rnacentral:lncRNA from 1 species